CAGUCUUUCUCGGCUGAGUUUAACAGGAUUGAAAAACCGAAGAGCAAGAACAACAGCAGCUGGUUGACACAGAAUACAUCAUUAAAGGCAUGUCUUCUUAUAUGUUGAUUGUGUUGGUGGUUAUCUUGUCGUCAUGUGUGUGGCAGACGGAGGCUGCGUGCUGCAGAGCAACUAAGGGUUACUGCAAGGACUGCACAAGAGGAACGCCCUACUGUGGCUAUAGACGAUGCAAUAUAUUCGGAUGUAACUGCGGUGGUGGUUGUCGAUAUCGCUCUGGAUGUUAUUUAAGUAAACA